AUUGAACGCUGGCGGCAGGCCUAACACAUGCAAGUCGAGCGGAUGACGGGAGCUUGCUCCUUGAUUCAGCGGCGGACGGGUGAGUAAUGCCUAGGAAUCUGCCUGGUAGUGGGGGACGACGUUUCGAAAGGAACGCUAAUACCGCAUACGUCCUACGGGAGAAAGCAGGGGACCUUCGGGCCUUGCGCUAUCAGAUGAGCCUAGGUCGGAUUUGCUUGUUGGUGAGGUAAUGGCUCACCAAGGCGACGAUCCGUAACUGGUCUGAGAGGAUGAUCAGUCACACUGGAACUGAGACACGGUCCAGACUCCUACGGGAGGCAGCAGUGGGGAAUAUUGGACAAUGGGCGAAAGCCUGAUCCAGCCAUGCCGCGUGUGUGAAGAAGGUCUUCGGAUUGUAAAGCACUUUAAGUUGGGAGGAAGGGUUGUAGAUUAAUACUCUGCAAUUUUGACGUUACCGACAGAAUAAGCACCGGCUAACUCUGUGCCAGCCGCCGCGGUAAAAC
rnacentral:rRNA from 1 species